UAGUAGUCGGGAGCUUCCCUGCUAGAUCUCAUGAUUCCCCCUUGGCAUCUCAAUCUGAUGUUCGACAAGUUCCUAGAACUUCAAGACUUCAAGCUCCACAGAUGCGUAGUAGAUUAAGUGCACCCUCUCCUGUACGUAUACCAUUGGGUGGUGCAUCCGGACUUCCACAGCCCACAGAAAUUCCUAGACCUAAGGCAACUGGUAUACCUCGACCAGGAUCCCGUUUACAAGCUCCCAGAACAAGAAACCAACAGUAUAGAGAAGGUACAGGAUCGGCACACUCGUGAUUUUUGAAGAAAUUGAAAAAGAUAAGAUAUUUUGGUACUUAAACUGAAAACAUUUAAAUGGAAUGCAGUCAUGACUUUCUUGCAUAAUGCUUUUACCCUUCCGUGGUGACUGACUUGAACAUUUAUAUUUUUUCAUAGGCAAAUUUUGAGAUAGCUAUAGUCCUCCAAAAUAUAACCCAACAAUUAGUGAGAGACUUUAAUGCAUGGAAAAUUUGUCUAUGUUUCAGAUAUGUGUAUUGGGAUUUUAGAUCAAGAAAUGAAAACUUGCAAUAUAAAACUAUAGUCUUUAGAGUGUACUUAGGCAGAAGAAAUGUAGGGAGGGUGAAGCAGCGAUGCCAAAAGUGCUUCCCUCAUUAUGUGAAUCAGCAUUUAAAGAUAUCCUAGUGAUUCUUUAAAAAGUCUUUGUUUGAGAAACAUUUAAUUGUGAUUGAGGGCAGUAAUGUAAUGAAGACUAUGCUAAAAAUAGCAUAUGAAAAUAUUAAGACAAUGUGACACAUCUUUCCUCACGUUGCCAAAUGUGCAUGUAUCCUAAAUGGAUGGUGAGGAGGAGAACAAUUACAUAUAGUUUUGGGUCA